UGGGUAACCUGCCUCAAAGAGGGGAAUAGCCUCCCGAAAGGGAGAUUAAUACCGCAUAAUAUGUUUAAGUCGCAUGACUUUAACAUCAAAGGAUUUUCUUUUAAGAAAUUCCACUUUGAGAUGGACCCGCGGCGCAUUAGCUAGUUGGUGAGGUAACGGCUCACCAAGGCAACGAUGCGUAGCCGACCUGAGAGGGUGAUCCGGCCACAUUGGAACUGAGACACGGUCCAGCUCCGUAGGAGG
rnacentral:rRNA from 1 species